UUUCCGUAGGUGAACCUGCGGAAGGAUCAUUAAUGAAUUUUAGGUUGCCCUCUUCAUCAGAGGGAACCGACCCUUCAUUUCCAACCCUGUGCACUAUAUCUGGGAAGUCGAGCAAUCGAUGACCCGUCCAUUUAUAUACUCUACAAGUAAUUGAAUGUCAAAAAUUUAUAACAAAAAAAAACUUUCAACAACGGAUCUCUUGGCUCUCGCAUCGAUGAAGAACGCAGC
rnacentral:misc_RNA from 1 species